ACUGGUGCCCUGGGUGAUAUGGGAAGACAGGAGUGUCUCAGCUCUAUCUUCCCAUUAAAGUCACCAGGGGAACAUCAAACAAAACAAAACAAAACACCCAACUCUGUGUCCAUGUCUCACCCUUAACCAACGGAAUUAGAACCUCUCGUCUCAGGGUGACUGAGCUCCUCAUUGGUUUAAGUCUCCCUGUGACUGUGAAGCAGAGUCCUGGCCCCUGUCACCUGCUGGAUGGAUGUUCCUUGAGAAAGAAAGAAAUUUCUACUGUGUUCUAGAGCUAGCUUUGUUUUCAACUGAUCCGCUGGCCAAUUGCCUUCCUACAUCUGGAUUCUCCAGUCACAUCCUGACCCAUCCGUGGCUGGAAGGAGGAUCCUGGCAGGAGAUGCUCCAAAUGCCUCCCAGACGCCCUUGUAUCAGCUCUUGCCGCCUCCCACGGUGGAGGCCAAGGAACUGGUACCAUCUGAAUCACUUUGUGCCGGGGGAAAACAGAGACACCCACGUGUUCCUGCUUACACGGGUGGACAGGUGCCACAUGUGUAAUUCAUGCCUCCAUCGGUAGCAGACCCUGGUGAUGUCCGUCCUGCAUCGUCCUGACCCCCCGAGUUCCCUGCAGCGUGGCUGGGCAGCUUCAAAGGAUGCUGACAGCUUGGAUUGAGGCCCUAGGCUUCCUGGCCUCUCUGGAGUAAGGAUUCCCAGCACGUUCCACACGAUGCCUCAGAAAGUCCCCAGGGAGACAGCGCCCCAUUGCCCACAGCAGUAACAUGCUUGUUAAAGCACCCGUGCUAGGCCGUGCUUCCCCUCCCGUCUCCCU